rnacentral:lncRNA from 1 species
UACUUGUAGAGGGUCUCUGCAACAUUCCCCUCACGGGCGAUGACGAACUUGCUCUUGGUCCGCUCCGUGAGAAAGGGACUCAUCAUCGAAUACAGCAUGCUAAAAUACCAGGGCACGUUUAUAAACACCUGCACCCACGCCACACAAACCACCCACAAUUAAUUAAUACUCACCAGUCACCACCACUACAAAUAGAAACUUAGUUUUUUUAGUAAAACUGAAAAUAUUGCAAGAUUGAACACAGAAUUCAUUAAAAUUUAACUAACAGCUUUAACCACUACCCAGUAAAUAAAACUACAUAUUUCAAGACUUUACCACCGAAUAAAAGUCGUUAAAUUCUUUAUGCUGACUCCGAUCAUUUUUAUUUUUUUGAGAGAUAGGGAGCACGCUAUCCGUUUCGUUUAUUUCAUUUAGAAAUAAAUUUAGCUGGAAAUGUGAAUCAAUUAGAAUUCGAACUUGGAACCUCGGGUACCAAUCACCAAAUCCCUUGCCACUUGUUUUAGAGACGGUCGGUGAGGCUCGAUUUUAAACCCUUUCGAUUGUUAGAUAAAUAAUAUCAAAAAAUCGUAAAAUUUAUUUUCUAGAUACUUCAAAUACACUAAAUGAAGUCUAACGGAGCCAAUUGUCGAUUCGAAAGCUCCAUCAUCAAAAAUGGUUUAGAAGCACGGAGGCCUCCGUGCUCCUAGUAGCACACAAAACAUAUUAUAUAUAGAGAGAGUCCGGCUACUAUACUCUUAUAAGUAUAGAUUUUUUUAUAUUCAUAAGUUUUUAGCUAUUAAAUCUAUCCCUUUGAUUAUUUCUACCCGUUAGAUCAUAAUAUUCAACCAACCACCCACUCAAUCAUAGAGGACCACUAUCAUUCUAAUUGGAGACAAACAUCAUUUUAGUCACACAUCGGUUCAUCCAACGGCGAAAAACUUAUGAGUACAAAUGGGUUAAUAGUCAUAAGAGUAUAGUAGCCCUAGCCUUUAUAUAUAUAUAUAUAUAUAGAGCUAGGCUCCUAUGCUUUCGAAAGUACAGGAGGCCCCGUGCUUAUAAGUUGUUUUCGAUGAUGGGACAUCCGAUUCGGCGAUCGGUUCUAUUAAACUUGAUCUACGCUAUUGGAACUAUCUAGAAACCAAAUUUCAUAAUUUUUUGAUUUCGUUUGUCUAGUGAACGAGUAGCCUCAAAAUGAACGGCUGAAAAUGAAAAUCUCAUAAAAAACAGUGAUAAAGGAUUCAAAUUUUAAAUCGGAAGUAUUGAUCUUGCUACUGAUGUUAAGUAAAAUUUUCUAUUAAAUUUUCAUGUAAUUUGGAUACUUCUACACCGUUUAACUUAAAAAUGUGCCACAUCGACCGUUAAAAUAGUCAUUUUUUAGACCUUUUGAUCGCUUAGUAAAUGAUGUCAAAAAAAUCUAAAAUUUGGUUUCUAGAUAGUUCCAAUAGGAUAGAUCAUACUUAACGGAGCCGAUCGUCGAAUCGAACGUCCUAUCAUCGAAAACAACUUACAAGCACGGGGCCUNUAUAUAUAUAUAUAUAUAUAUAUAUAUAUAUAUAUAUAUAUAUAUAAAGAGACAGAGAGAGAGAAAGGGGGAGUGAGAGAGGGAGAGAGUCCGGAUAUAGCGCUUUUAAAAGUAGUAAGUACUUGGUGCUUGUAAGUUUUUUACCGUUAAAUUUAUUCCUUUGACCAAUUUUUAUCUUUAGAUUAUGCUAUUCUACUAAUCACCUACUCUACUCUAGGGGGUUACUCUCAUUCUAAUUUUAUAAAUCUUCAUCCAAAGGCUGAAAAUUCAAAAAUACUAAUGACUUGAUGCUUUUAAAAGUAUAAGAUCUCAUAUAUAUAUAUAUAUAUAUAUAUAUAUAUAUAUAGAGAGAGAGAGAGAGAGAGAGAGAGAGAGAGAGAGAGAGAGAGAGAAAGAGAGAGAGAGAGAGUUGAGCUGGAUUGCUAUCGGUAGCAAACGGGCUCCAUUGUCAUCUAUUUGUUUUCGAUGAUCGAGCAUCCAAACCGAUGAUCGAUACCAUUGAACGUUAUCGAUAUCACUUGAAGUAUUUACAAAACUUAAUAACGCCAAUGACUUGGUGCUUUUAAUAGUAUAAUAGCCUAAUUCUAUAUAUAUAAUACAAGUAAUUAUAGCCCAACAAAAAUGUACCUCAAUUUUUUGAUUAAAUCUCUCUCACUUGGUGCUUGUAAUUUUUCCGCCGUUAGAUCUAAUCUUUGAUUAUUUCUAUCCGUUAGAUUAUACUAUGCAACCAAUCAUCCACUCAACUCUAGAGAACCACUAUCGUCCUAAUCUCAUAUUUCUUAAUUUAAGGGUUGAAAAUUUAUAAGAAUCAAUGACUGUAUAUUUUUAAAAGUAUAGGAGCUCAAUUUUAUAUAUAUAUAUAUAUAUAUAUAUAUAUAUAUAUAUAUAUAUAUAUAUAUAUAUAUAUAUAUAUAUAUAUAUAUAUUGAGUCUAUGCUUUUAAAAAAGUACCAAGUUAUUGAUGCUUGUGAGAUUUUUAGCAUUUGGAUUAAGAGAUAUGCGGUUAGGCUGAUGUGGCGCCCCUAGGUUUGAGUGGGUGGUUGGUUGUAAUAAUAGUAUAAUCGUAAUGUGUUGAAAAUGAUCGGAAUCUAUCGUGAAAAAACUUAAAAGCACCAAGUGUUUGGUGCUUUUACAAGCACCAUAGCGGACUCAUAUAAUACUAUAUAUAUAUAUAAUAGUAUAUAUAUAUAUAUAUAUAUAUAUAUAUAUAUAUAUAUAUAUAUAUAUAUAUAUAUAUAAUUGAGCUCCUAUGCUUUUAAAAGUAUCAAGACAUUGGUGCUUGCAAGUUUUCGGCCCUUGGAUUAAGGGAUGUGCAGUUAGGAUAAUGUGGAUCCCCUAGGGUUGAGUGGGUGGAUCGUACUAAUUACUUAGUUAUAUGAAAUGUAUAUUUACAUUGACAUAUGAAAUUAAAGUAGGCAGUGGAAACUGAAGUGAGAGAACAGAAGAUACUGAUCAAGUGUGAGACUCUUCGAUCACUUGAUGAGUUCCUGCACAAUCUUCUACUACCAUGGUAGCAUCCACAGCACUAGUUCCCUGAUUCUCACAAUCUAUUUCGAAGUGCGUGCAUAGCGACUCAUCAAUAUCCGGACUGAAUCCCCUCAAAUCAACCGUAUCAAUUUUCUCCGACGAUGGCCUGCUGGGAUCGACAACAACUGCGAGUAGAUCAUCCGAGCUAUUUCCACUGCGUGUAGUGUGUCUCUUCUUAUGGUGCAAGAACACUCCGUAUACCGUCAAACAUGCGGUAGAUGCAAAAACAGUUAUCCCGAAAAGCCCCCAAAAGCUCCCUGGACUUAGCUUGAACUCAUCACUGUCAUCCGUCGUAGCACUCGAACAGUUGUAGGAGCCAAGCAUCUCACUCUCGAGCUUCUGAAUCAUCCCGGUCUCGAAGAUUUCGAGGAUCGCUUGAGAGAUGUCCGAUAAGAGCGGAGUGCCCUUGGGGAACACCUGAGAUACACCCUAUGAGAGUUUUAUUGCUCCAAAUUAGUCCUUUUCUAAUUCAAAGUUAAUAUAGUGUUUUCACACUCUUUGUAGGCCAAUUUGUCAGCAUUAUGGUGAUCAUUAUAAUGUUGGGGAGUUAAAUAUAACACUUACAAAGCCUAGUCCUCCGACAUGGUACUCCGGGCCGACUAUCGUGAACUCGUUGCAGUAUUUCGCGAGAAGUAAUUUCGCGUGAGAUAUGCGAAGAAAAGCAGCUUUGAUUUCGCCGCUUAGUAGAUCUUUACGAAAGUCCUCCUCGGUCGACAUUUCCUUUACAUGUUCUGGAUUGAAGAGUAAAACUUCCUUCAAGUAUUUCCCGACGACCGAGCCUCCGGUGCACCCAACAAUCGCAUUGCUACUCUUCAGUGACUCCACGGUUACAAGGUCGAGUUGUUGAACCGUGAGAAGUGAGCUAAGGCUCGCAGUGUAGUUUGUGGUUAGUACCACUGCCACAAAUAACCACACCACCAUAGCCACACGGGACAAAUUGCUCUGCAGCUUCUCUCCUGAAUAGUUUCAAUUUUCUCCAGUCAUAUGAAGCAGUUUUUAAGCAUCGGGUAAAUUGCAUCGCGAAUCCCCAACAUUUUAGUUCAAUUGUUAUAAUUGGUGUAAUCGCUAUAUGGGAAGCAGAAAAUCCCUUUAACUGGUACGUAAUUAUGUGACAAUUGCAUGAACAUUUCCAUAAAUUAAUGUGAAUGUAGUGCAAAGAAGAGGAACUCAACUGUAACAGUUAAAAGUUGAGAACCGCGCAAAAGCAUUUCAAGAAGAAAUGUCAAUUACCUGGGGAUAAAAGUGUGGUGAAGGAUAUCCAAAUUAGCGUGCUCAAUUGAUUCCAAAAGGAUCCGCUGAAUUCGCUGUUAUAUUUGCGCUCGAUGAUCCAUACGACUAGACCAUUGUACAAACCUAUUGCUAGAAUUAUGCCCCACAUUGGUGCUGUAAAAGGCUUCAAGAAUAUCCAGUCUCUGCUUGUCCCUUUCAAUCUUAGAGGCACCACCAUUACAAGCCCAGACUCGGUGUACGGUUGCGAGAACUCGACAUAGUGGUACCGGGCCGAGGAGAUCGAUGUAUCGCCGACUAACACAUCGUAGGCCUUUUCCAUAUAUAGAGAAUAUCAUAUUAGAUUAGAAAGGAAAUUAACUUAAAAUAGACAAAAGGACACAUUCCAUGAAAACCGCUUCAUAAGUACUAUAUACUAUGAUUUUCAAGUUUUGGACCCCGAAAUUCUAAAGCCAACAUUUUAGUUACCUCAUCGACAUAAAAAUGAGUGACAAUAGAUGUUGCAAAAAAAAGGUAGACUAAUAAGAUAUUAUAGUUUGCAAAAUUUUAAUUAUUAAUAGAACAAAUUGAAUUGAAUCUGAUGAAUUCAAUUUAGUACAGAACAAUACUUACUCUGAUAACACCUUUCCAGCAGUUUGAGAGGAGAAAUUAGAAAUUAAUUACAUUUCCAAAAAAAAUUCUGCAAAUUAGACUACAAAAAAAAUGUGCUUCUAAGAAAGAAAAGAACAACGAACUAACCUUCAUAUGAUCAUGCUCCAUCAAACAAUCAUAGGUGCCAUUGAAGGAGACAAACUUAUACGGCAAAUCGUAAGGCAAACGCCUUACAGUCUCCCUAAAAACCUCGAUUGAGAACCCUUCGAAGAGCUGUUCGUUCGGAUUCUGAUCAUAUUUAACACUCGCAAAAUCCGGGAACACGGCCUUCUCCGGCACCGCGAUCUUCAGAGGGUUUUCGCUUGUCGGCGGAGCCCAACCUCUUGGCACAGUCCACGGUCCCCCAGGCCAAAAAACUGGGCCCAGCACCUUCAUCGAUGAACCAUAAUCCUCUCCUUGAUCCAUACUCUUCGAGAAGCCAAGCUCUUGCGACCAAAACCCCAAUACUCUAUAGCUUUUUCCUACAACAUUCACAAGCUCAAAAGCUCUUGGCGGAGCAAACUCGCCGUCUACAAAAUAGAAUUGGCCAUUUAAACCGGAGAAAUUACUUCGACGAAUAUAUUCCGAUAGUUUCAAACCAUCCGACGAAACCCAUAUAGGGAUCAAGUCCUUCGAAUUCUCCCUAUUAAUUUUUGAUGCGUUGUUGUUAGUAGGGUUAAUCUUUUCCAUUGCCAUAGCCACAGCCCAAGCUGUGUCAUAUGCCAAGUAGGGCAAAAACUGAGGGUCUUUACUCUCUUCUUGUGGGUACCUUAAACGAAACCUCGCGUUGAAUCUCGCAUUAAAAUCGCGGACCCGAGAGCUAGGAGCGAAGUAGUUGCUCACACCAAGAACCCCUUGCAUCGGCGCGAUCGUCGACGCGUUAAGCGAAUCGAGGAGGCUUGUUAUUCCAUCAGUUACUAUCCAGACGUAAGAACUCUCCAUCAUAUUCAUCUCAUUUGCCGUUGCGAAUAACCUGUCGACAUCAUAUAACUAUAAAAUAUUAAAAUACUGUUCUCUGAUAGCAGCAGCUACUAAGUUUACAUAGGCAAUCAGUUAUUAAUUUCACGUAACCGAGCAGCGAGAUGGAUCGACGUGUGGACGACGAACACGCGGCACUGCCCGGUCUUCAGCUCCUCGAGCUUCUCGGUGAGGGUUGCCGCGGAGGAAGGGACGGCCACGCGGCGGUCGAUCUCGGAGCCAAUGUUGCGAAGUGCGUCCGCGAGGUGGGGAAUGAUGCUGGUGGCGGUGUAGUCGACGUCCUCGUAGAUGAUGGUGACCCUCCGCCACUGCCAGGAGCUGACGACGGCGGCGACAGCGCGCAUCUGCGCGUCCUGGCUGGGCGCCACGCGGACGAGGAAGGGCCAGCGCUCGGCAGCGGAGGGGGGGCUCGUCCUCGCGAACAUGAGGAUCGGCACACGGGCUCGUUGGCCGAUCUCGGCGACGAACGCCGCUUCUUCCCAUGUUCGUAGCCCGAUGAGGGCGUGCACCUGCUGCUUGUUGAUGAGAGAUAUGGCUGCAUGCAUGGGCACAGUUCAUUUUUAUUUUUAUUUUUAUAUUCAAAUUUUCUAUUCAUGUUGAAUUACGGAUUAUUUAGUAGUAUAUACGUACUUAAUUUUAUCAGUCUUUUUUAUUUUUAAACUACGUAUUUUGUUUUCCCAGACGCUUUUGCAAGAAAUCAAUUUAAUUGUGUCCAAUAAAUAACAAAAAUUAAUAUAAUAAUUUAAUUUAGAAUAAUAUUUUAAAAUUUAUUUUUAUGUUCUGAGCACCAUAGAAAUCGUUAGUUUGAUGUUAUUUUUCUCGCACGGUGAUGUCAACCCCUCUCCAAUAAAAUCUCACACAGUAUUAUAUAUCAUUUCAUUACACAAGAAAAUAUCUAUAUAUAGUGUUUUUAUCGCGGCUCGUACCGUAGGCUCUGGGUCGGGGUUCGGUCCAAUACCUGAACUUAAGCGUUGAGAAUAAAAAGCCCAAUUCCUAAUCCGAUGUUGACCUAAUUUUUGUCGAAGAUUGACUUUGUAGAUGUGUCUUGAAUUUGCGUAUUUGGAGUGAAACUACUAGAGGUUUUUUUUUUUUUUUUUUUUGACUUUGAAAUUUAUUCUUCAAACUCUUAGCUUUUUGCUUUUUUGGCUUUUGUGGUAACACAUGCUAAUGAAAAGUCCAAAUGAGAAGAACUCUUACCGGCAGACGCAGCGCGCACAGGAUCCCCCGCAGAGUCCACAACAUGUAGAGCCGGGCUGCGGCCGGUGCGAUUACGGAAGUCAUCAAUGGCCAUCUCCACGGCCACCCUCUCCUCCCUCCCGGCGCGAGACCCGCAGUCGACAAUCGCGCCGAUCCUGCCGCCGCCGGCAUUACUCGAAUCGGCUAACGCCGCCGCACUUCCACUCAAAAGCAGAAUCAAGCAAAGCAAAUAAACGUAAGGAAGAGCUAGAGCCAUUUCUCUCCCUUCACUCAGCAUUGUACUCUCCCCACACUCCAACAAUGAACAUACAAAUAUAUAGCUGGACUCUCUCUCUCUCUCUCUAUAUAUAUAUAUAUAUAUUACAAGUGUAGCAUACAGAUACGUACAUGUUCACGAAGACACAAAGAAAAUGUUUGCAUGGUCACAUCCAAAUUAAGUAUUCCUGGGACGGCAGGACUUUCAAGUCCACGCAGUCACUGUACGUGGUAAGUUUCCGGGUUACUUGCUCUGAAAUAAUUUCCAAGUUAUUUGCCCCUAAAAUAGCUAUUUUCAAGUUGUAAUUUUCAAACUGUCCAAUAAAAUAUAAUUGUUUGGCUAGUAUUAGUCAUGCAUGAAAAUGACUUUGCAACGCCCUUGUCAACAGAUGCUUCGCCCUAAGAAUCUUCCUACUUCAAUGCCAAGCUUAUUGUGUUGGUGUAUAUUCUAUAGGAUAUAAUUAACCGCGUAUCCGUUUCUAGAGGGCAAUAAAAUUGUAUAUUACUGACCGUCCCUAGAGCAAGUGGCAAAAAAUUUAGUGGUUAGUAUCGAGAUCCAAAUUCGAAUCCUAGUUGAUUCACAUUUCAAGCAAAAUUUAUUUUUAAAUGAAAUAAACGAAACAGGUAGCAUACUACUUAUCUCUCAAAUAAAUAAAUAAAUAAAUAAAAUUGCAUAUUUAUUCCUGCAAAAUUUUAUAAUCAAAUGUAUUUGUUCGAAAUUGCAUAGUUUGUAAUUAAAUUUUUCCUUCUCCAUUAGGGUGUGUUUGGAUCGUCAGAAAAUGGCUCCGAAAAAAAUUUUCGGUUAAAAAAAAUUUUCUGUUGUUUGGUUGCCUAUAAAACUUUUUUCCAGAAAACUUAUUUGACAUAUUUUGGAAAAAUGAAGGGGGAAAACGAAAAGCUUGCUGUGAAAAAAUCGCGGCGCACGAAAAUCUUGCUGUUGGAGCACGCGGUCCACGAGGUGAACUUCACCUCGUGGACCACGUGAGGGAGAGUCCACGUGUGUUAUANGAAUAAUAUUUUAAAAUUUAUUUUUAUGUUCUGAGCACCGUAGAAAUUGUUAGUUUGAUGUUAUUUUUCUCCCACGGUGAUAUCAACCCCUCUCCAAUAAAAUUGCACACAGUAUUAUAUAUCAUUUCAUUACACAAGAAAAUAUCUAUAUAUAGUUAGGGGCGUAAACGAGCCAAACACGAGCCGAACACGAGCAAACUGGGUCGGCUCGUGUUCGCGAACGCAAGCUGGCUCGUUAAAGUAUUGAGUCGAAAAAUUCAACUCGUGUUCGGCUCAUUUAUUAACGAGCCGAACACGAGCUGGCUCACGAGCUGGCCAACGAACAAUAAAUCAAAAAAGUUAGAUUAAAUAUAUAUAAAAAAUAAAUUUAUAAAAUUUUAUCCAUUAGACUUUGAUCUAAUAAUUAAAACUUUACAUAUAAAUGAGUCUUUUUGUAAUUAAGUUCGCAUUUAUAUUUUUAUUUUGCUAAAAAUUAAAUAAUAAAAAUAUAUAUUAUAUAUAAUUAUUUAUUUAUAUAUAAAAAUAUAAAUUAAAUAAAUUAUAUAAAUAUAAAAUAUAUAUAUUUGAGCAGUUAUCGAGCCGAACACGAGCGAGUUGACCCUAGCUCGUGUUUGGCCCGUUUAUUAAACGAGCUUAAUUUUUCAGCUCGUGUUCGGCUCGUUUACUAAACGAGCGAUUCGAUCUCGAGUUCAUUUCGAACCGAAUACGAGCUAGCUUGCGAACAGCGAACUAAAUUGCCACCCCUAUAUAUAGUGUUUUUACCGCGGCUUGUACCGUAGGCUCUGGGUCAGGGUUCAGUCCAAUACCUGAACGUAAGCGUUGAGAAUAAAAAGCCCAAUUCCUAAUCCGAUGUUGACCUAAUUUUUGUCGAAGAUCGACUUUGUAGAUGUGUCUUGAAUUUGCGUAUUUGGAGUGAAACUACUGGAGUUUUUUUUUUUUUUUUUUUUUUUGACUUUGAAAUUUAUUCUUCAAACUCUUAGCUUUUUGCUUUUUUGGUUUUUGUGGUAACACAUGCUCAUGAAAAGUCCAAAUGAGAAGAACUCUUACCGGCAGACGCAGCGCGCACAGGAUCCCCCGCAGAGUCCACAACAUGUAGAGCCGGGCUGCGGCCGGUGCGAUUACGGAAGUCAUCAAUGGCCAUCUCCACGGCCACCCUCUCCUCCCUCCCGGCGCGAGACCCGCAGUCGACAAUCGCGCCGAUCCUGCCGCCGCCGGCAUUACUCGAAUCGGCUACCGCCGCCGCACUUCCACUCAAAAGCAGAAUCAAGCAAAGCAAAUAAACGUAAGGAAGAGCUAGAGCCAUUUCUCUCCCUUCACUCAGCAUUGUACUCUCCCCACACUCCAACAAUGAACAUACAAAUAUAUAGCUGGACUCUCUCUCUCUCUCUAUAUAUAUAUAUAUUACAAGUGUAGCAUACAGAUACGUACAUGUUCACGAAGACACAAAGAAAAUGUUUGCAUUGUCACAUCCAAAUUAAGUAUUCCUUGGGCGGCAGGACUUUCAAGUCCACGCAGUCACUGUACGUGGUAAGUUUCCGGGUUACUUGCUCUGAAAUAAUUUCCAAGUUUCCAAGUUAUUUGCUCUUAAAAUAGCUAGUUUUAAGUUGUAAUUUUCAAAUGUCCAAUAAAAUAUAAUUGUUUGGCUAGUAUUAGUCAUACAUGAAAAUGACUUCGCAAUGCCCUUGUCAACAGAUGCUUCGCCCAAAGAAUCUUCCUACUUCAAUGCCAAGCUUAUUGUGUUGGUGUAUAUUCUAUAGGAUAUAAUUAACCGCGCGCGUAUCCGUUUCUAGAGAUCGAGCAAUAAAUUAAAUUGCAUAUUUAUUCCUGCAAAUUAAAUUUUAGUACCAAAUAUAUCCGUUCGAAAUUGCACAGUUUGUAAAUUUAUCCUUCUCCAUUAGUAAUUAACCGGUUAAAUUUUGACUUUUCUGUUAUAAUUGACCGUCCUAUAAUCUAAAAGAAAAUUUUUUUAAUUAUAUUUAGCAUUAUUUAUCAUUUCUUAUAUUUUUAUUGACCUAACCUUCGCUUUUUUACAUGAAUCGUAAACUGGAAAUCCUAAGAACUUUCUCUGAAGAACUAUUUUCAACUCCUACGUAAGAAUAGAUUUGUAUAUUUUUGCAAUUUUUAGGGAUAAAUUUGAUAAUUAGAAUUUUGCAGGGAUAAAUCCGCAUGCAAUUUCAAAACUUUGAGGAUUACAUAUGAAANAUAAUAAUAAUAUAUAUAAUAAAAAAUAUAUUAUAUAAGUUUUUAUCUACUUUUCCUUAUUUUUCAACCAAACAACGCCCAUCAUCGAAAACUACUUUUUUUUUUUCUACAAACCAAAUACUACACCAUGGAAAAUAUUUUUUCCACGGAAAAUUUUUUUCCACCGAAAAUUUUUUUUCGCAGUUCUACGUCAAACCAAACAGCCCCUUAGUAAUUAACCGGUUAAAUUUUGACUUUUCUAUUAUAAAUUGACCGUCCUAUAAUCUAAAAGAAAAAUUUUAAUUAUAUUUAGCAUUAUUUAUCAUUUCUUAUAAUUUUAUUGACUUAACCUUCGCCUUUUUACAUCAAUCGUAAACUGGCCGGAAAUCCGAAGAACUUUCUCUGAAGAACUAUUUUCAACUCCAACGAAUAGAUUUGUAUAUUUUAGCAGUUUUUAGGGAUAAAUUUGAUAAUUAGAAUUUUGCAGGAAUAAAUUUGCAAUUUCAAAACUUUGAGGAUUACAUAUGAAAUUAUUCCUUCCACAUAUAUUUAGAAAAUUUGUGGCAAAUAAAAUUAAAACAAUCAACAACUAGUAAUUAAUUAAAAUUAUUAAUUUUAAUAAAGUUUUUAGUAUAAUACUCGAUAUUUUUUUAUAAAUAAUGUUAUAUUUACAAACAAAUUUUACAAUACUUUACGUACAAAUCUUGCAUACACGGCGAAAUUUAAUUGGCAGAGAAGUGUAAACCACAAUAAGAUAAAUACGACUUAUAAUUUCAAGAUUACAAUCCGACCGUUGAGUUGUAUAUAUAUAUAGUUUGUACUUUGUAAGUAUUUCUAUUUUCACCUACCUCUUUUUUUUUAAAAAAAAAAAAAACCUCCUAGUAAUUAAUAAGAAGUUGGAUAGAAAUAGUCCUACUUACGUAUAUAUUUACAUUUUUUUUUUGGCCUUAGUAAACACUAGAAUAUGUUUGCUUAUUCGAAUAUGAAGUUCUGAGCCAAUUUCUUGUUAGAAGUAGUCUCGCGUACGUGCAUAGAACUUCCAAUGGUCGCCGGUAAUUAGUAAUUUCCGAGUCAUUCAGGGUUUGUGUAGAAGGAUUGAUGGAUCCUCCCUUUUAACAAUCUUGAGUUUUUUCUACAGUAAACUACUAGGGAAUCUCCGGAAUGUUGUUGAGUUUUUUCUACAACCUAUAUACUACGAGGGAAUCUUCAGAAUGGUGUAUUUAUAUAUUGCAACGAUGUCAAGUCGUUUUUUAUGUUUAAGCGUCUGAAUCGACGAUCGGUAUAGUUGAAUUUGACCUAAAGCAUUUGAAAUACUUAGGAACCGAUAUGGUCCAAGUACGCUGUUUGUUCGUUUAACAAUGUAAAACGAUCCUUUUUUUUAAAAAAAAUUUGAUCGAAAGAUUCUUUUUAAUUUUGUUUUACUAUCUUGAUCAUGUUCGACAACCCCCAUUUUAUAUUUAUAAGCUCUAACCUCUAUUUUCACAACUUUUGCAUUUUUAACCACUCAUUUCAUAGCCAUUUGAUGCACUAGAGAGUGAAUUUCAAAAACUAUCGAGUAUUUUUGACGGUGCCGAGUGCCGAUUCGGAUUCCUAAUUAUCGUAAAUGACUUGAUAGGAUAAAAAGUUUUUUCUUAUUAAUAGGAUAGUAACUUUGAUACUUAUAUAUGACAUCAAAAAAAUAAUUUAGAUUAUGUACAUAAAUUUUUUUUGAGAAAAAAACAUUAGUGAUUCUUGAAGGACCCAGAACAUUUUUCGCAAUUUAUAAACACCGAUAUGUACUGGAUGUAGAAAAUCGAGUUGCGUAAAUAGUUAUUAGAAAUUGUAAUUACUGAAUUGCGAUUUGGGUACUGUUUUUUUUGGGUUAAACAUCAGUGGGUUGUAAAAUAACUCAAAUUGUAAUUUGCGAAUUUCUAUUUUACCGUGCAUGUAUUUUUAAUCGAUCAAAUUUAUAUAAGUCAUUAGCCUGGGGCUUAAUGUGGAGGUUAAGGCUCGGCUUUAAUGCCUGGCCUGGAACAUAAACAAAUGCCUCACUAGCCUUUUGGUAGCAUACUACAUCUAAUAUUAAAAAAUAUAUAAUAAAUAAAUGAUUAGUAAAAAUGAAAUAUGAUUUACAUACUCGAAGCCCGACCUGUAAAGCCCAUAGGAAUGUGGCAAGUCAUUUUUGGGUCCAUUAUGUAACACAAGAGGUGUGUUUCGCUCAGAUGUGUCGUAUAUUUUUUUUCAUGGUAUCACAAUUCAUAACGGUAUCACUUAUAAUAUCAAAAACUUAGUCUUCGCUUACUAAUUUUGCAGUUGUUUGAAAUAGAGAAAUUGCUUAAGAAGCCAAAUAAAAAGAUCAACUAAUCGAUUAACAAAACACCAAAACAUACCAAAAAAGCGAUCUUUAAUGUCCAUAAUAAUAAUAAUAUUGCACAAGAACUAAGAUAGAUCACCAGAAAUUAGAAUGGUACAUUGAAACCAAAAAACAACAAAGAAAUACUUUUCUAGUGGUAUACAAAAAACAACACAACUAGAAAUUAACCUCUCUAACUCAUCCAUCUCCAUCAUAAUUUUUGCCAACAAUUUUCAUCCCCAUGAUGAAUUGAAUAACAAAUAAAAGAAGAAAAGAAAUACAACAAAAAAAAAUAAAAUACACAAAGAAUACAAUUUCCACCACCACAACAACCUACAGAACAAUCUUAUCAGGCGGGCCAACGAUCUAUAUAUCGUCGCGUGUUUUUGAAAAGCAUCACGAGGGAGGGCAUAGCAUAGCGGCCCCCUCGCGGCCGAGGAGCUCUUUCUCGCCGCGAACAGAAGCAUCCGAGGCAGGAGAAGCCAUUUUCUUGAGGUUUUGUUGUUGCUCAUACACACGUCUCAGCCUCUCUAUCUCCUUCUUAAGAGCUUCUUGAUGUGCUGCAAUAUUAGUAUGCAUUUCGACAUAAAAAAUCACAAUGUGUAAACAAUUUCCUUUUUUUUUUUUUUGUUGCGAGUACAUUUAAACAAAUGUGGAGAUGAGGAAUAGGGAUGAGAUAGGCGUAUAAUUAAGGUUUCAAAGGUCAAAAUAAGCUGUACAGGAAUAACUUGUGGUAGUCAAAAUAAGUUGUACAGGAAUAACUUGUGGUAAAUGCGUAUUUGAGGUACGAACUAGGUCGAACAAAAACAAAAAUGGUUUAUCCCUAAUACUUUUUUUUUCCUUUUUGAGAAGAGUACUACUACAUCGUCAAAAUUCCAAAUAUUAUCCAUUCGUUAUUUCUCACUUUUAAAAGCCUUAAUCCGUACUUAUCUUUAAAAAAAAGAAGAAGCAUUUGUUUGGCUCCGCGCGUGUACCUCGGUCGAAAAACAAAUAAUUUAUAUUUAUAAUUAACAUAAUGAAAGUACUAAAUAUGUUGAAUAAUUUAGUGUAGCAUUGAAACAAAACGUGGCUCUUACGUAAGCAUAAAAGGUUAUUUCUUCAAAAAUAGGAAUUGAUACUUCUAGACCAAAAUUGAUAGUGAAGCUAGAGCAUAUUCUUUAUGUUUAGCCAAAUUAUAGACCUUUUCGUUUUGACCAGCUCAAUUCCCAUCAGAAAUUCAUAACAUUGAACAAUAAUUCAGAAUUUGGAGCACCCUUGAACUAAAAAUCCCACCUUUUAAUCCAUAAUGCUGUUGAAUAUAAAUAUUAAAAAUAUUAUAUUAAGAUAAUUCUAAAUCAUUUCGUUCUGUGAGGUCGUAAGUUUAAUUUUUUAUUUAAAUAUGUAAUAAAUUAAAUUUUUAUAUUAUACGACAGGUUAAAUUAUCUAAGUGUCUUUCGUAUAUAUUGAGAGCAUUAGUGCAUAGAAUUCUAUGCUAAGGUUAAUAAACCACGAGAAAGAAAAAAGAGAAGAAUGUAAAAUUAAUCUAAUGACUUAGUGAAGGAACAUACCAUCCUUGAAGAUCUUAUCUUGCGCUAGAGCAGCAAUCCGCUGCUUAAGAUGGCUGUUCCCGACGGUCAGAAGCGAGCGCUGGUGAUCGAGGAAUGCGACUCGUGGAGACAAUGCCGACACCUCCGUCUACAAUUCAGAAUCAAAUCGAUUCAGUAAAUAACAAGCAACUCUAUGUAAGCGCGAAUCUCAGUCUAAUUUAGAGGAAAGGAAAAAAAAAAACCUAUGUGAUUUUUUUUUUGAAAAUAAAAUUAUAAGAGGAGAA